rnacentral:rRNA from 1 species
AACGAACGCUGGCGGCAUGCCUAACACAUGCAAGUCGAACGAGACCUUCGGGUCUAGUGGCGCACGGGUGCGUAACGCGUGGGAACCUGCCCUUAGGUUCGGAAUAACUCCCCGAAAGGGGUGCUAAUACCGGAUAAUGUCUUCGGACCAAAGAUUUAUCGCCUUUGGAUGGGCCCGCGUUGGAUUAGCUAGUUGGUAGGGUAAAAGCCUACCAAGGCGACGAUCCAUAGCUGGUCUGAGAGGAUGAUCAGCCACACUGGGACUGAGACACGGCCCAGACUCCUACGGGAGGCAGCAGUGGGGAAUAUUGGACAAUGGGCGAAAGCCUGAUCCAGCAAUGCCGCGUGAGUGAUGAAGGCCUUAGGGUUGUAAAGCUCUUUUACCCGGGAUGAUAAUGACAGUACCGGGAGAAUAAGCCCCGGCUAACUACGUG